CUGUAACUCGAAAUGAAGUCAACCAUGUAAACGUGAAGUUGAUCGAAAUAACCUGAGAUCUUCACACUAAAAGAGAAGAAGAGAGACCUCGUGAAAGUAAGGUUUGUUGGACAAGAGAAAAAUAUAGUUAUACCCCCUACUUCUAACUAUAGCUCAGAUUAUCCGGCAGAGUUAAAAAAGGACAUGUCAGUACCCUGUGAUGUAGGUUCAUAUCUACUAGUCUAACAAAUCGUAUAUUUGCAAAUUUAGA